GACAGAGGGGGCAAGCGUUGCUCGGAAUCACUGGGCGUAAAGCGCGCGUAGGCGGUUCGUUAAGUGGGAUGUGAAAUCCCCGGGCUUAACCUGGGAAUUGCAUUUCAAACUGGCCGACUAGAGUUCGGUAGGGGAGACUGGAAUUCCUGGUGUAGCGGUGAAAUGCGCAGAUAUCAGGAGGAACACCGGUGGCGAAGGCGGUUCUCUGGGCCUUACCUGACGCUGAGACGCGAAAGCGUGGGGAGCAAACAGG
rnacentral:rRNA from 1 species